UUUGUGCCAAUCCAUGAAGUGGCCUGGAAUCAUCACCCUGCUCCAGGGCAAUGCCACCACCCUCACCUAACAAUGAAGGGGUGGAAUGCCAUUAUGAUGGGACUGUUGGUCAUUUGCUACUGUUUGAUUAUGGGGGGGCAUUCACAUGCUCCCAAGCCCUAGAUAGCACCCACUGCCAAAGCCUCAGACACGCUGGGAUACUGGGAACACCCAGCCACAAUUGAAGAAAUGCUAAACUGGCUUUUCAGUCGCUGACGGUGGAUUGUGGACUGGCAAGGAGGAAUCUGUCAAUGUUACUGUGGGACAGGGUGGUUGCUCGGUUUCCUCCCAUAUGCCAAGAUCAGGAAAAACAAGUAUGAUACAGGGGGAGAUUGUUGUGGUUUCUUCCAAUGGCCCUGGUGCUGUUAUAUUCUGCCUGCAGGUGUGCUGCCCACCCUGGGUCCUGAUGUGACCACUGCUGCAACCCCACCUGCAGCUCAAAAUUCUACAACCACCCGGAGCCCAAGGAGGCGACCAAAAUCUCCAACCCCACCUCCACAGGAGACGAUAGCUCCAGCAGUUCCCCUGCCUGAUGACACUUUGGCACAAUGGUGUACAUCUCACCAAAUACACCAGUCCUCCAGGUACAGCAAGGUACUCUGGUGGUUUAAAAAUGGCUCUUAUGCUGUCAAGUGCUGGUCCACGGAAUGGGAGGCCAACACAUCCCACGUUCCAGGUAUUUUGUAGUUCCGCCAUAUGGAUGAAGGGGGGCUCGCUCACGGAACUGAAUACACAAUAGCGGAAUAUCGCCAACAGUCUGGGAAAAUCUGCAGGGCACCACCCUG